GAUGAAGAACGCAGCGAAAUGCGAUAAGUAAUGUGAAUUGCAGAAUUCAGUGAAUCAUCGAAUCUUUGAACGCACCUUGCGCUCCUUGGUAUUCCGAGGAGCAUGCCUGUUCGAGCGUCAUUAUAACCACUCAAGCUCUCGCUUGGUAUUGGAGUUCGCGAUCUCGCGGCUCCUAAAAUCAGUGGCGGUGCCUGUCGGCUCUACGCGUAGUAAUACUCCUCGCGAUUGAGUCCGGUAGGUUUACUUGCCAGCAACCCCCAAUUUUUACAGGUUGACCUCGGAUCAGGUAGGGAUACCCGCUGAACUUAAGCAUAUCAAUAAGCGGAGGA
rnacentral:misc_RNA from 1 species